rnacentral:lncRNA from 1 species
CAGAGACAGAUGAAACAACAGUGUCUAUGCAGCAACAACGUUUAUACAAGGAAACAAAGACAAGGGCGGACUCAUGGUUGCUCCCUCAUAUAGGAAGAAUAUUCUGUGAAGAAAUGCUGAAAUCUGCACUACGUGGCUCCAAGAUACAAACCAGAGUCGAGGCAGAAAUUAGAGAAGUGAAAGCCACCUAAUGAAUAAACAAACCUAUCAAC